UAAGGAUUUCCCGUAAAACGGCGAGUGACCGGGAAGAGCUCAAAUUUGAAAUCUGGCGUGCUCAGUGCGUCCGAGUUGUAAUCUAUAGAGGCGUUUUCCGUGCCGGACUGUGUCUAAGUCCCUUGGAACAGGGUAUCAAAGAGGGUGAUAAUCCCGUACUUGACACAAUGACCGGUGCUCUGUGAUACGUCUUCUACGAGUCGAGUUGUUUGGGAAUGCAGCUCAAAAUGGGUGGUGAGUUCCAUCUAAAGCUAAAUAUUGGCGAGAGACCGAUAGCGAACAAGUACCGUGAGGGAAAGAUGAAAAGCACUUUGGAAAGAGAGUUAAACAGUACGUGAAAUUGUUGAAAGGGAAACGAUUGAAGUCAGUCGUGACUGAGAGGCUCAGCCGGUUCUGCCGGUGUAUUCCCCUCAGUCGGGUCAACAUCAGUUUUGUUCGGUGGAUAAGGGCAGCUGGAAGGUGGCACCUCCGGGUGUGUUAUAGCCAGCUGUCGCAUACAUCGAAUGAGACUGAGGAAUGCAGCUCGCCUUUAUGGCCGGGGUUCGCCCACGUCCGAGCUUAGGAUGUUGACAUAAUGGCUUUAAACGACCCGUCUUGAAACACGGACCAA
rnacentral:rRNA from 1 species